rnacentral:tRNA from 1 species
GACCACGUACCUCAGUUGGCAGAGCAUUGGGCUAGUAUUCCAAAGGUCGUAGGUUCGAUUCCCACCGUGGCCA